rnacentral:rRNA from 1 species
UACAGAGGGUGCAAGCGUUAAUCGGAAUUACUGGGCGUAAAGCGUGCGUAGACGGUUGCGUAAGUCAGAUGUGAAAGCCCCGGGCUCAACCUGGGAAUUGCAUUUGAGACUGCGUAGCUAGGGUGCGGAAGAGGGAAGCGGAAUUUCCGGUGUAGCGGUGAAAUGCGUAGAUAUCGGAAGGAACACCAGUGGCGGAAAGCGGCUUCCUGGUCCAGCACCGACGUUCAGGCACGAAAGCGUGGGGAGCAAACAGG